rnacentral:rRNA from 1 species
GAUGAACGCUGGCGGCGUGCCUAACACAUGCAAGUCGAGCGAGAAGUAAAGAAAUGAAGCUUCGGUAGAUUUUCAUUAUGGAAAGCGGCGGACGGGUGAGUAACGCGUAGGCAACCUGCCCUGUACAGGGGGAUAGCCACCCGAAAAGGUGAUUAAUACCCCAUGAUGCAAGAGAUACACAUGUAUCACUUGUCAAAGAUUUAUCGGUAUGGGAUGGGCCUGCGUCUGAUUAGCUAGUUGGUAGGGUAAAGGCCUACCAAGGCGACGAUCAGUAGCCGGUCUGAGAGGAUGAACGGCCACAUUGGAACUGAGACACGGUCCAAACUCCUACGGGAGGCAGCAGUGGGGAAUAUUGCACAAUGGGGGGAACCCUGAUGCAGCGACGCCGCGUGAGCGAAGAAGGUUUUCGAAUCGUAAAGCUCUGUCCUAUGAGAAGAUAAUGACGGUAUCAUAGGAGGAAGCCCCGGCUAAAUACGUGCCAGCAGCCGCGGUAAUACGUAUGGGGCGAGCGUUGUCCGGAAUUAUUGGGCGUAAAGGGUACGUAGGCGGCCUUUUAAGUCAGGUGUGAAAGCGUGAGGCUUAACCUCAUUAAGCACUUGAAACUGGAAGACUUGAGUGAAGGAGAGGAAAGUGGAAUUCCUAGUGUAGCGGUGAAAUGCGUAGAUAUUAGGAGGAAUACCGGUGGCGAAGGCGACUUUCUGGACUUUUACUGACGCUCAGGUACGAAAGCGUGGGGAGCAAACAGG